AUUGAACGCUGGCGGCAGGAUUAACACAUGCAAGUCGAGCGAGCGGCGGAAGGGUGAGUAAUGUCUGGGAAACUGCAUGCUGGAGGGGGAUAAGUAAUGAAAAAGGUAGAUAAUAACGACUAACCUCAGAGGUGCACGGCAGGGAUUAGCUAGUAGGUGGGGUAAUGGCUCACCUAGUCGACGAUCUCUAGCUGGUCUGAGAGGAUGACCAGCCACACUGGAACUGAGACACGGUCCAGACUCCUACGGGAGGCAGCAGUGGGGAAUAUUGCACAAUGGGCGCAAGCCUGAUGCAGCCAUGCCGCGUGUGUGAAGAAGGCCUUCGGGUUGUAAAGCACUUUCAGCGAGGAGGCGUUACUCGCAGAAGAAGCACCGGCUAACUCCGUGCCAGCAGCCGCGGUAAUAC
rnacentral:rRNA from 1 species